GUGGUAAUUCUAGAGCUAAUACAUGCUGAAAAUCCCGACUUCGGAAGGGAGGUAUUUAUUAGAUUAAAAACCAAUGCCCUCUGGGCUCCUUGGUGAUUCAUAAUAACUUUUCGAAUCGCACGGCCUUGCGCCGGCGAUGGUUCAUUCAAAUUUCUUCCCUAUCAACUUUCGAUGUUUGGGUAUUGGCCAAACAUGGUCGCAACGGGUAACGGAGGGUUAGGGCUCGACCCCGGAGAAGGAGCCUGAGAAACGGCUACUACAUCCAAGGAAGGCAGCAGGCGCGCAAAUUACCCAAUCCCGAUUCGGGGAGGUAGUGACAAUAAAUACUGAUACAGGGCUCUUUUGGGUCUUGUAAUUGGAAUGAGUACAAUUUAAAUCUCUUAACGAGGRACAAUUGGAGGGCAAGUCUKGUGCCAGCAGCCGCGGUAAUUCCAGCUCCAAUAGCGUAUAUUAAAGUUGUUGUGGUUAAAAAGCUCGUAGUUGAACCUUGGGCCUGGCUGGCCGGUCCGCCUC
rnacentral:rRNA from 1 species